rnacentral:rRNA from 1 species
AGCGAACGCUGGCGGCAGGCCUAACACAUGCAAGUCGAACGGCUCUUCGGAGCAGUGGCGGACGGGUGAGUAACGCGUGGGAACGUGCCCUUUGGUUCGGAACAACACAGGGAAACUUGUGCUAAUACCGGAUGAGCCCUUCGGGGGAAAGAUUUAUCGCCAUUGGAGCGGCCCGCGUUGGAUUAGGUAGUUGGUGGGGUAAAGGCCCACCAAGCCGACGAUCCAUAGCUGGUCUGAGAGGAUGAUCAGCCACACUGGGACUGAGACACGGCCCAGACUCCUACGGGAGGCAGCAGUGGGGAAUCUUGCGCAAUGGGCGAAAGCCUGACGCAGCCAUGCCGCGUGAAUGAUGAAGGUCUUAGGAUUGUAAAAUUCUUUCACCGGGGAAGAUAAUGACGGUACCCGGAGAAGAAGCCCCGGCUAACUUCGUGCCAGCAGCCGCGGUAAUACGAAGGGGGCUAGCGUUGCUCGGAAUUACUGGGCGUAAAGGGCGCGUAUGCGGACAGUUUAGUCAGAGGUAAAAGCCCAGGGCUCAACCUUGGAACUGCCUUUGAUACUGGCUGUCUUGAGUUCGGGAGAGGUGAGUGGAAUGCCGAGUGUAGAGGUGAAAUUCGUAGAUAUUCGGCGGAACACCAGUGGCGAAGGCGACUCACUGGCCCGAUACUGACGCUGAGGCGCGAAAGCGUGGGGAGCAAACAGGA